rnacentral:rRNA from 1 species
AGAAUCAACGCUGGCGGCGUGCCUAACACAUGCAAGUCGAACGAGAAAGGGUAGCAAUACCUGAGUAAAGUGGCGCACGGGUGAGUAACACGUGACUAACCUACCCUGGAGUGGGGGAUAACUGAGGGAAACCUUAGCUAAUACCGCAUAAUACCUACGGGUCAAAGGAGCAAUUCGCUUCAGGAGGGGGUCGCGGCCGAUUAGUUAGUUGGUGGGGUAAUGGCCCGCCAAGACGAUGAUCGGUAUCCGGCCUGAGAGGGCGCACGGACACACUGGAACUGAAACACGGUCCAGACUCCUACGGGAGGCAGCAGUGGGGAAUUUUGCGCAAUGGGGGAAACCCUGACGCAGCAACGCCGCGUGGAGGAUGAAGUCCUUCGGGACGUAAACUCCUUUCGAUCGGGACGAUUAUGACGGUACCGGAAGAAGAAGCCCCGGCUAACUUCGCGCCAGCAGCCGC